UUUAAUCUGGACCUUUCACAAUUGGAAAUUUGAACGGAAGCUCCAAUUCCCUUGAAAUUUGAAUAUGGGUUGGACAUUACACCCAUUUCAUGCUUGGUCACGAUGGCAGCAAGCAUUACAAAUCUCAAAUUAAAAACUGACUGGAAAGUUCUCUGCAUAUUUCAGUGACAGAAGCCAGUGAUUCAGCAUUUGAACUCUAUUUCAAAUAAAAUGGGUUACAGAGAGAUCAAAGAGCAGGAAAAGGAGAGCAAAGCAGAUAUUGAAGACCCGCACCCUGAAUCUGGUUCUGCAGAUAAUCCACAAAUAGGUAUUCGAGAAGGAUUGGAAUGGAAACG